rnacentral:misc_RNA from 1 species
AUUUUUCAUUUGUCAAUAAUAAAGGGGAGAGUUAAAUAAAAAAUGGUUAAUUAUUUUAACAUUUAUUUAUUCAUCAUCAUAAAUUAUUAGAACGUUAUCUAAAAAUUGUGCAGGUGUUAUUAGAUUUUCUUGAUGUCUUGCCCAGCCUAGGUACCAUAUUACGGACAUUACAUGGCAACAGCAACCUUACUCUUACUGUUCGUCUCCCUACAACACAAUUACAAUAAUAAGCUCGUAUGGCGUCCCAUCCUCUGCGAGAAUUGUCAACUAAUAUGUAAAAAACGUCGUG